AAUUUUACCACUCCAAAAUUGGGAACUAAACAAGCCCUAAAGGUUGCUCUGGCAGUACCUUGCUUUGAGUUGUGAAGUUCAAUUCAAAGACUCGUAGUCUCGUGUUCGGAUAUGGAGACGUGGGACGGAGUGCUUUUCACGAGCCUGAUUCCGAGUCGACCAAGGGUUUCCGAGAGUACAAGAGCUCUCUAGAGACUACGCGCGUUGCUUGCACAGGUCGUCCAGCAAUUGUCCAGCAUGGCGCUGCGUUGUCUGCUCCGACGGAUUCCCGGCGGUCCCCUCCUCCUGCCGCGCGUAGCUCGCGGUGUUGCCGGCGCCGCCGGCCUCUCGGUCCCUGAGCACCCUACCUCAGGCUGAAGCGGCGCAGAUCCCGGAGCCGAGCAGGGCCAGGUGGGAUUGGGAAGCGGCCAUCAAAGAAAAUGUUGAGUUGGAUAAACAAUGUGACGAGGCUAUGAGAGCUGCAAGGGUUAGUUUGGAUGAGUGGAAGAGGGCUGUCGUCGAUAAGCUGAAGAAAGUUAACGAAGCAGCUCCUGCUUUCCUCGUUGGCUUCGCUCUGCUCGGAGUAGCGGGGGUCGAGUACCACUAUCGCACCGUAUAGGCGUAUUUAUUUGUACCUGCUUAUCGUAGCCUGCUCUGUCGAUUUUUUUUUUCUAUGUAGGUCAUCUUAAUACGUGUCUGUGGACCAAGGGAUCCUAGUGUCAAAGUCGUCGUUUGUUUGUUCGUUCGUCACGUUUGCAGAUCAUAAAAUCUUUCUUCCAUUAA